GGAACCUUAGCUUAGUGGUAUAGCGUAGGACUGCAAAGCCUGAGUCGCCGGUUCGAUCCCGGCAGGUUCCU
rnacentral:tRNA from 2 species